ensembl:processed_transcript
CCAAUCUCCUAAUUUAUUAAUUUUGCUUAGGAUGGAGAAACACACAGUAAUUCAGUAUGUAACAUCCUCUAAGGGCAGACACCUGCUGUUGUUCACUACAGUGUAUGCUCUCCCAACAUCCAUCCUGGUGAAGACCCUUACUGGUGUUGAAGGUCUGUGCUGGCUUGGCAUGUGUAGGUUGAAAGUGUGCUCUGAGACACCCAGCAGAGGUGGUAAGUGUGUGGAAGGAGGGUUGGCAUCAGGCCAAACCUCUGGGGCAGCUCUUCCAUGGAGGGGAUUCCAGGCACUUCCAGUGGGAGACUCCAUCUUUCUCCCUGACUGGAAAUGGACAGGGGCCUUUGGAGCAAAGAAAGCCAUUGAGUAGCUGCCCUCUUUGAAAAGGUUCAGAAUUCUUACAAAAGGAGAAAGGUAUCUCUCUGAAUGGUGAGGACUCCUGUGGACACACUGUGGACUCCUGUAGUGUGUGUUUAAUGGAGGAAGACUGGAGUAGCUGCAGAGAGGCUGAGGCUCAGGCAGGAGUGGGAUGUCUUCCAGGAGCCUGGAAAUAGCCUCUGAGGAGCAUUUCACUGUAAAAGCCUUAAAAUGCUUAUUAAGCUAGCCCUCCCCAAGGAAGCAGGUCAGCGCCGUUCUCUGCAUUUCUAAACGACAAUAGAGAACUCAGAUGGCUGGCUACAUCUGGCUGCAGAGCUGGAUAGAAGCCACCAGAGAGACAGGGAAGCACGGAGAAGUCCACAACAAGCCACAGAAUCCAAACAAGGAGUUAGAAACCUGGGUAUUCUCCUCUUCACAGCUCUGACACUGGCUCCCUAAGCAUCUUCUCUUGGGAGCUCAGCGUCCACAUCUCUAAAGCACGAGAGGUUUGGGUAAGUGAGGGCGUCUCACAGACCCCGUUAUUGAGCCUAGGUGUAUGGAGUCUUCU